GCAGAACGCGAAGAACCUUACCCACACUUGACAUGCCUCUUUUGGCUUUCAGAGAUGAUUGCCUUCGGUUCGGCCGGGGAGUGCACAGGUGCUGCAUGGCUGUCGUCAGCUCGUGUCGUGAGAUGUUGGGUUGAGUCCCGCAACGAGCGCAACCCUUAUCGUAUGUUGCCAGCAUUUAGUUGGGCACUCGUGCGAGACUGCCGGUGAUAAGCCGGAGGAAGGCGGGGACGACGUCAAGUCAUCAUGGCCCUUACGUGUGGGGCUAGAAACGUGCUACAAUGGGAGUGACAGUGAGCAGCGAGGUCGCGAGGCCAAGCUAAUCUCCAAAAGCUCUCUCAGUUCAGAUUGUAGUCUGCAACUCGACUACAUGAAGUUGGAAUCGCUAGUAAUCGCAAAUCAGCAUGUUGCGGUGAAUACGUUCCCGGGUCUUGUACACACCGGAGGUAGGUCGGUGGGGAGGG
rnacentral:rRNA from 1 species